rnacentral:rRNA from 1 species
UACGAAGGGGGCUAGCGUUGCUCGGAAUCACUGGGCGUAAAGGGCGCGUAGGCGGCGUUUUAAGUCGGGGGUGAAAGCCUGUGGCUCAACCACAGAAUGGCCUUCGAUACUGGGACGCUUGAGUAUGGUAGAGGUUGGUGGAACUGCGAGUGUAGAGGUGAAAUUCGUAGAUAUUCGCAAGAACACCGGUGGCGAAGGCGGCCAACUGGACCAUUACUGACGCUGAGGCGCGAAAGCUAGGGGAGCAAACAGG